UUAUGGCCAUAUCAUGAUGAAACACAGGUUCUUGUCUGACCAUCAAAAUUAAGCAAUGCUGAGCUUGGUCAGUACCUAGAUGAGUAACCACUUGAGAAUACCAGGUACUGUCAG